rnacentral:lncRNA from 1 species
AAAAUCAAUUCAUAUAAAUCGAGUAAUUAACAUGGCUUAUGAAUUUCUUAAAACUUUGGCUCGUGCCAAAAUCAUCAUCAUACUCGGUCAUUAGGGAUACCUUGGUCGCGGGCUAUCCCAAACCGAGUCUGCCAAGACUAUAAAAAAGUUAUGUACUCAUAAAUCAUGUUUUUUAUUUUGAAAAUAUAGUCGUUCCUUGGCGUUGGCUGAGUUCGCCCUCACGUGGUGGUUUGGCGUGAUGUGAACUCUAAAAGUUAUACCUCGGGAGUUACCCUACUCCCCUCUCCAAUCGAGGUAAGAAUAUGACUAGGUUUCGUGCCCCUCUAAUAGGCUAGUCUACAAAACCAGCCCACUGCAACAAGCUAAACCCACCAAACAAUAAAAAUUCAAUAGCAUAACAUGGCAAUUUUAUCAUUAUCCAGCUUAUCAAGGCAAACAACAGUUUAUACAUUUCAACACAAAUACCAAUUUAGCCAUUCAUGCCAAUAUUGUCAUAAGCCAAUCAAUUAGAACCAUAAAUUCACAAUACUUCAAAUGGUCUCUAAUUACUCUAUUUUCAAAGCCAUUAUUCAAUUUUAAAACAAUUCUAUGAAAUCAUUUCAUUAAAUCACAUUUGGUUUAUAAAAUCAAAAAAUUAAUCAUUUAAUUCAUUUUCCAUAAAAUUCACAAAAUCGGAUAAAAACCACUUUAUAUAAUUAAGACGAUAGUAAGGUUACUCACAAUAUUAGGAGUCGAUAUACUCCUAUUCUCGGUCUUUGACCACAAUCUCUUUACCCUUGUUAGAGGGCUCACCACC